GACGAACGCUGGCGGCGUGCCUAAUACAUGCAAGUAGAACGCUGAAGGAGGAGCUUGCUUCUCUGGAUGAGUUGCGAACGGGUGAGUAACGCGUAGGUAACCUGCCUGGUAGCGGGGGAUAACUAUUGGAAACGAUAGCUAAUACCGCAUAAGAGUAGAUGUUGCAUGACAUUUGCUUAAAAGGUGCAAUUGCAUCACUACCAGAUGGACCUGCGUUGUAUUAGCUAGUUGGUGGGGUAACGGCUCACCAAGGCGACGCUACAUAGCCGACCUGAGAGGGUGAUCGGCCACACUGGGACUGAGACACGGCCCAGACUCCUACGGGAGGCAGCAGUAGGGAAUCUUCGGCAAUAGACGGAAGUCUGACCGAGCAACGCCGCGUGAGUGAAGAAGGUUUUCGGAUCGUAAAGCUCUGUUGUAAGAGAAGAACGAGUGUGAGAGUGGAAAGUUCACACUGUGACGGUAUCUUACCAGAAAGGGACGGCUAACUACGUG
rnacentral:rRNA from 1 species